UCGAACGCUGAAGCACCAGCUUGCUGGUGUGGAUGAGUGGCGAACGGGUGAGUAAUACGUGAGUAACCUGCCCUUGACUCUGGGAUAAGCCCGGGAAACUGGGUCUAAUACUGGAUGCUACAUGUCACCGCAUGGUGGUGUGUGGAAAGGGUUUACUGGUCUUGGAUGGGCUCACGGCCUAUCAGCUUGUUGGUGAGGUAAUGGCUCACCAAGGCGACGACGGGUAGCCGGCCUGAGAGGGUGACCGGCCACACUGGGACUGAGACACGGCCCAGACUCCUACGGGAGGCAGCAGUGGGGAAUAUUGCACAAUGGGCGAAAGCCUGAUGCAGCGACGCCGCGUGAGGGAUGACGGCCUUCGGGUUGUAAACCUCUUUCAGCAGGGAAGAAGCCACAAGUGACGGUACCUGCAGAAGAAGCGCCGGCUAACUACGUGCCAGCAGCCGCGGUAAUACGUAGGGCGCAAGCGUUGUCCGGAAUUAUUGGGCGUAAAGAGCUCGUAGGCGGUUUGUCGCGUCUGCUGUGAAAGCCCGGGGCUUAACCCCGGGUGUGCAGUGGGUACGGGCAGACUAGAGUGCAGUAGGGGAGACUGGAAUUCCUGGUGUAGCGGUGGAAUGCGCAGAUAUCAGGAGGAACACCGAUGGCGAAGGCAGGUCUCUGGGCUGUUACUGACGCUGAGGAGCGAAAGCAUGGGGGAGCGAACAGGAUUAGAUACCCUGGUAGUCCAUGCCGUAAACGUUGGGCACUAGGUGUGGG
rnacentral:rRNA from 1 species